UACGUAGGGUGCAAGCGUUAAUCGGAAUUACUGGGCGUAAAGCGUGCGCAGGCGGUUGUGCAAGACCGAUGUGAAAUCCCCGGGCUUAACCUGGGAAUGGCAUUGAUGACUGCACGGCUAGAGUGUGUCAGAGGGGGGUAGAAUUCCACGUGUAGCAGUGAAAUGCGUAGAGAUGUGGAGGAAUACCGAUGGCGAAGGCAGCCCCCUGGGAUAACACUGACGCUCAUGCACGAAAGCGUGGGGAGCAAACAGG
rnacentral:rRNA from 1 species